GGAAGCGUGCCCGAAAANUUAGG
rnacentral:tRNA from 1 species